UUCAAAGUUUCCUUAUUUUAAUAAACCAAAAAAAAAACACUACAAAUAAUGCUACCAUUGCUUCGAAAAUUUUACGAUUGGUUUUACGAUGUCUUUGGCUUCUUUUGGGUGGCCUCCAUAGUGGCAAUCCCCUAUUUGAGCCAUCGAUCCAAGCUGGAUGACUUUAACUUGGUGGAUACUACCAUAAUGUAUAUAGUCAUAUUUUUUGGAGCCUUUGGACAGGCCCAGCAAGGACGAGAUCCACCAAGAGGACGAGUUGAAUAGUUAACUUAAACUGACUUCGUGGCCCUGAUCAUUGUGAAACCUGUUUUAUAACUAGAGACACACUCUUUCCAAAAACAAAAAUUCAAUUAAUGCGAUACGCCUGAUUGAUGUGUACGACACAAACAUUAUUUUUUUUUGCUGCUGCUGCUGCUACUAGAGGUUUUUCGCCGGCCAGGUUGUUACCGAGGCCAGAGCCCGCCAGUCCGAGGAGGCAGAGCGCCAAGCUGCACACGAUUCCCUGCCACAUUUUCAACAUGUACUAUAUAUUCGCAAUGCUGUGUACACUUUAUUCACUUCCACGAUCUGCCCAAUUAUGUAUUAAUAUAUGCACUUGCAGUUGCAUGGA